AGUCAGAAGCGGGGAUCGCUCCCUUCACCGAAUCGAAAGCGAAUCGGCCGUUCGUAUUUGCAGUUAUUUCUGUGAGGUCUCAAAGCUGCUGUACUUCACAGGGCUCAGCAGCACUGGGGGGGGCCGAGACCGAACUGCAGCUCCGAGCACGUGGUUUUUAAAGGAGUCUGACGCGUUUGAUUGUUGUCUGGGAGUUAGGAAUGGAAAUAGAAAGUUGGAAGGAGAGUACAGAACGCGAGCUUGUAAAACUUGAACGUUAGUCAUAAGGGAAAGCAGCACAGGCAGCCAACACCUGCUGCUGAUGGGAUAAGCGGCAGCGGGAAACGCUCAGCCUGGGGCAGCACCUAUUGCCGACUGCACACCGCUGCACGUCCCCGUGCCGUGGCAGCGCCCCGCGCGCCGACUCACCAUCUGCCGGAUCGUGGCCGCCAGGUGCUUUGUGCUGUAGCACAGAGACUCGACGUUCUGCUUUUCGCUAUCGAAAGUCUCUUGAAUGAAUUCCAGCAUGAAACUGGACGCCCUUGGUUCAGCCGCUGCACACGUCCACGUUAUACGCCGUCACACGCGCACCCCUCUGUGAACCACACCUGGGCACAUCCCAUUGCUCCGGUGUUUCCAGCACACAGCGGUGGAGGAAGGUCAGCACCCAGGGCUCCCCGGGGCAGCAGGCACGGGAAAUGCCACGCAGUUAUUUACCCGCUAUCUGCAGCCUUAUCUCCUUCGCCACACAGGGAGGGGUGCUGGGAAUUUUGGCCUUUCGCUGAGGGAUUCUUUGCCCAGAACCAGUGUGCCCAUUCAGCUCAGGCACAGGCUGACAUGGGCUUUGGGGAGCUGCCCGGGGCGUGCUGCUGGUCGGCUUUUGGAGUGUCACCCUGUGAUUUCGCCUAAUAGAGAAGAACAGAGAAAGAGCUGAUCCUGGUUCUGGAAUGGGGAGGGCACGGGGCGCAGGGCGACGUUGGCACAAGAGUUGAGAGCUGUGGUACGAACCACAAGAAUGAAGCACACAGCCAGCAGCGUGUUUGGCCAACACCAAAUCAGCGAGUCCAGCUGCAAGGUGCCAAAGGGCAGGACCAGCCCAGUGAGUUCUGGAUGGCUCGUGUUCUUCCUGCACACAGCCCAACUUCUCCAGUCUUGUCAGUGUGUUUGGUUAAAUCUUCAGAGUGAAAUGAAAUAAAAUUUCAGUUGUUGUUUCUCACCCCAAAGCUCCCAGGCCUUCUGCCAUUGCUGUCCCUUACUCUGUUUUUGGUUUGUUUGCUCUUUCUGUCUGGGUGUGUACGUGACUUCAGAAGUGCUGAGUAUCCUUGUGUGCUCCCAUGGCAGAUGCUCAUGAAUGCCUUACGUAGCAUUCAAGAGAAGGAGGAAGGAACCUGAGUUCACACUUCUGCUACUACUGCAUUUAUUUUCUUUGGGAAAAUCUCUCUCUCUCCCUCCUCUCUCUCUCCAUUUUUCCCCCCCUUUUCUCUCUGGUACUGCAUUUGAAAUAAAUAAUUUGCACUGAUCUAUCUAUAGGAAUGUUUCAAGUUGGUGAUGGACUUAAAUCCAUCCAAGACUUAAUUAUCCCGCUCUAUACUGCUCUGAGCUAAGCUGCUUCAUCACCUUCUUCAGAAAGCAGUAAGACCCAAACAAGCAGUGCUGGGUCGUGAGUUAACUGUGCAUCAGGACAUGGGACGGUUGGGACUUUAACGUGUAUGAGCACUAGUACUGAGACUGUAAGAUAUAAUUUCUAGAUACAGGUAUAUCUUACAGUUUACUGUUCUUCUACCCUUCUAUUGUUACUGUUCUUCAUUUCACUCUGUGGGUUAGUCCUCUCUUAUUAUUUAUAUUACAAAACAAGUGUCUGCCUCUCACUGUGAAAACUUUUCUCAGGUGGAAUCUCAGAUAUUGUCAGUGUUCAUCCAACUCUUUCUUUUGUUGGGGCAACGGGCAUUACUACUGAAAAGCUCUAUGGCAGCAGAGAGGCCAAUUAUGAAUGCUGUAAGAAACCUCUCCUCUCAGACUCUCUGCGCAUGAAAACUACUCCUAGCUGCAGUCAGGGAUGAAUUCAUAGCCAGAGAGCCAAUCCAGGGUAAUGCCAUCUGUUGAAUGCUUAGAUUCCAGCAUCAAUAUUUUUGAUAUUGCGCCAGGGAAGAUUCAAGCUGGACGUUAGGAAAUACUACUUCUCUGAAAGGGUGGUCAGGCACUGGAAUGGGCUGCCCAGAGAGGUGGUGGAGUCACCGA